rnacentral:rRNA from 1 species
UACGUAGGCAGCGAGCGUUGUUCGGAGUUACUGGGCGUAAAGGGUGUGUAGGCGGUUCUUUAAGUUUGGUGUGAAAUCUCCCGGCUCAACCGGGAGGGUGCGCCGAAUACUGAGGGACUCGAGUGCGGGAGAGGAAAGUGGAAUUCCUGGUGUAGCGGUGAAAUGCGUAGAUAUCAGGAGGAACACCGGUGGUGUAGACGGCUUUCUGGACCGUAACUGACGCUGAGACACGAAAGCGCGGGUAGCAAACAGG